GACCACGUAGCUCAGUUGGCAGAGCAUUGGACUAGUAUCCCAAAGGUCGCCGGUUCGAUUCCCACCGUGGCCA
rnacentral:tRNA from 1 species